rnacentral:rRNA from 1 species
UACGUAGGGUGCAAGCGUUGUCCGGAAUUAUUGGGCGUAAAGAGCUCGUAGGCGGUUUGUCGCGUCUGCUGUGAAAACCCGAGGCUCAACCUCGGGCCUGCAGUGGGUACGGGCAGACUAGAGUGCGGUAGGGGAGAUUGGAAUUCCUGGUGUAGCGGUGGAAUGCGCAGAUAUCAGGAGGAACACCAGUGGCGAAGGCGGCUUCCUGGUCUGCGACUGACGCUGUGGCGCGAAAGCUAGGGGAGCAAACAGG